UACAGAGGGUGCAAGCGUUAAUCGGAAUUACUGGGCGUAAAGCGUGCGUAGACGGUCAUGUAAGUCGGGUGUGAAAGCCCCGGGCUCAACCUGGGAAUUGCAUUCGAGACUGCAUGGCUAGGGUGCGGAAGAGGGAAGCGGAAUUUCCGGUGUAGCGGUGAAAUGCGUAGAUAUCAGGAAGAACACCCGUGGCGAAGGCGGCUCUCUGGUACGUGACUGACGCUGAGACGCGAAAGCGUGGGGAGCAAACAGG
rnacentral:rRNA from 1 species